CCCAGACUCCUACGGGAGGCAGCAGUGAGGAAUAUUGGUCAAUGGGCGAGAGCCUGAACCAGCCAAGUCGCGUGAGGGAGUACUGCCCUAUGGGUUGUAAACCUCUUUUGUCGGGGAGCAAAAGCCGGACGUGUCCGGCUGUGAGAGUACCCGAAGAAAAAGCAUCGGCUAACUCCGUGCCAGCAGCCGCGGUAAUACGGAGGAUGCGAGCGUUAUCCGGAUUUAUUGGGUUUAAAGGGUGCGCAGGCGGAUUUUUAAGUCAGGGGUGAAAUCGUGGGGCUCAACCCCAUCCAGCCGUUGAAACUGGGGAUCUAGAGUGUGCGAGAGGUAUGCGGAAUGCGUGGUGUAGCGGUGAAAUGCAUAGAUAUCACGCAGAACUCCGAUUGCGAAGGCAGCAUACCGGCGCCCGACUGACGCUGAGGCACGAAAGCGUGGGGAUCGAACAGGAUUAG
rnacentral:rRNA from 1 species